rnacentral:lncRNA from 1 species
AUGCAUCAUUUCUAAUUUUACUUAGAGCGAUCAAUCCCAUCUUGACUUGCAUUCAGACUUCACAAGUAUUUGACUGUAUCCAAAAAUCUUCUGUCAUCGAAUUAAAAAUUCGGAUAGUCUAGCACUAAAGCAAAGUGAGUUACUGGCAAGUCACUAAGACAGCCUCAGAUUAGAGGAAGACAUAUACUCAUAUCCCAUCAGAGCAAUCUUUGACAGUAGAGUACUCCAGAAGUAGUCACGCUCAGUGAAAUAUACUCCUACAUAUCAUCCAUAUGUCAUAUCCGUGUCACAAUACAUCUUGGUUAAGAGAACAACUAACUAAUAUAGCACACAAUGAUCUACACUCGAUAUAAUUAUCAUCCUUAUAAUAAUUAUAUCAUUUAGUCGCAAGCA